UGGGGAAUUUUGGACAAUGGGCGCAAGCCUGAUCCAGCAAUGCCGCGUGAGUGAAGAAGGCCUUCGGGUUGUAAAGCUCUUUUGUCAGGGAAGAAACGGCGAGUCCUAAUAUGGCUUGCUAAUGACGGUACCUGAAGAAUAAGCACCGGCUAACUACGUGCCAGCAGCCGCGGUAAUACGUAGGGUGCAAGCGUUAAUCGGAAUUACUGGGCGUAAAGCGUGCGCAGGCGGUUAUAUAAGACAGUCGUGAAAUCCCCGGGCUCAACCUGGGAACUGCGAUUGUGACUGUAUGGCUAGAGUGUGUCAGAGGGGGGUAGAAUUCCACGUGUAGCAGUGAAAUGCGUAGAUAUGUGGAGGAAUACCGAUGGCGAAGGCAGCCCCCUGG
rnacentral:rRNA from 1 species